CAGGAGGGCAGUACAGCCAGGCGGCAGAAGCUAAGAAAAGAGCUUAUUUUGUGACUGCAUCCGGACCUUGAGUUCUUUGGCUCUUGUGUGAGUGGAUGGUGACACCAGGCCAGCUGGGGAUUCUUCCCAGGCUGGGCUCACAGGCUGGGGCUGGGCACACGGAGCAGCUGCGGGAAAAGGAUCUGGACACCAGCCCCCCAGCGUGUCACCGGCAGGAAGGUGAGGUGGGAACAGAGUGACGUCCAUGCAUGUUCAGAGACAAGGUUUCCCUACGUUGCCCAGACUGGUCUUGAACUCCUAGCCUCAAGCAGUCCUUCUGCCUCAGCCUCCCAAUGUGCUGGGAUUACAGGCAUGAGCCACUGCACUUGACCAAGGGACUAAGCCAGUGGAUCACAAACAUCCUGGAGAGCAGUGACUCUGUGAUUCCAUCACAAGAAUAUGAAGGACUGAGAAGAUCUCCAGCUCUGCCCAUUGCACCUUCCCAUUGAGAAGCAGCAUGGCACCCUGGUGGCAGGGGCUGAUACUCAGCCGGGCCAGGGUGCUCUCCUGUUAACCAUAACCAAGCUCACAGGACAUGGGAUGAGCCCACUGUGUGACACAGGGAGCGGGACACAGUCUGUUAAGUCUUGCACAGCCAUGCUCUGCCACGCAGGCAGGCCUUUCCUUGGCCUCCCUCUCCCUGUUCGUGCUCAUGUGAACAUCCACCUACGUGGAUAGACUGGGCUUUGGUUCAUUAUUGCUCUGUGAAUUCCUCGAACUUCCGCAUCUGCCCAACCUCCCCCACCCCAUUGUUUUCAUUGUGUUUCACCAAAUGGAAAUUCUAGAGUAAGCAUGUGAGUCCUCUCCCAAACUUGUUCACUGUUGAGAGUGCUAAAAUGCUAACCCCAGAUGCUAACUGAGGGGUAGGGUUACCUUAUCUUUAGAGCACUGCGAAUUGUAUGUUAAGUGGAACUUAAUGAAAAAAUAGUUAAUUGACCAACAUGAAUAUCCCCUGAACAGAAUCUCCCCUGAACAGAAUCCUACAAUGAAACUAAGGGAGAUAAAUAAAGCUGUUUACCUGAAAGCUCUCUCUAAUCAAGAUCCUUUGAAAUUUAUAAAACAUGGUCAAUAUUUGCACUGGACUUUGUAAAAAUAAAGCUUGAUAAGAGAAGAGUUUGAAGUGAAAUGCUGCCACUUUCUAUGCAAUAUUUGAUUUAAAUUUAAUUCCUAGAAACCUCAGAUGAAUGUGGUUCAUGUAUCAAAGCACUCAGCAUUAUUUAUCGCGGCCUUAAAUACACAGUGAGCUUACAUGUGAAUGAAUACAUAUAUUAUGUAUCUCUCUCUAUAUAUAUACUAUAUAGAUAAUAUAGUAUAUAUAUAUAUAUAGUGUAUAUAUACACUAUAUAUAUCGUGUAUACAUAUACUAUCUAUAUAGUAUAUAUGUAUAUGGUAUAUAUAUCUAUCUAUAGAUAGAUAGAUAGAUAUACUUAAAAAAACCCCAUUCCCUUAAGAGCAGUUAAGGGACACCAUAUAUCAAAUUUCUUGGCACGUUGUGAAUAUUAAUAUCCCCAAAGUGUCAAUGUCAAAUGAUUUGACUUGAAAUCACUAAGCUUGGUAAUCUCACUAUUUUUAAACAAGGCCUAACAUCUUUUAAUCUUGAAUACCAGCAAGUUCUCAGACUUCAGUUGUUUAUUUUCUCUUUUCUUUCCUUUAAAAAAUUCUGACAAGCUCUUUUCCUUGACACAAAGAAAGCGUAUAAAUUUUAUUUUGGUUUGAACAACAGAAAUUUGCCUCUCAGAAUUCUGGAGAUUGGAAAGUCUAAGGACUAAGCUGCUGGCCAAUUUAGUUCUUAGUGAGGACUCUCUUCCUGGCUUGUAGAUGGCUGCCUUCUCACUGCAUCCUCAGAGAGAGAGAGAGAGAGGGCUCUUGUGUCUCUUCCUUUCUCAUAAAGCGUCAGCUCUCUUGUAUUAGGGUCCCACCCAUAAUUACCCCCUUAUAUGCCCCAUCUACAAAUAGAGUCACAUUGUGGGUUAGAGCUUGGCAGUGAAUAAUUAUGGAGGUUAUUGUUGGCUUUAGAAUUUCGUGGUAGAAACAAUAAAUUGCCUUUGUGUUUACGUUUUAUUUUAUUUUUUUAACAUUAACAUGUAUUUGCAACAAUGAAAACAGCAGGUGAAUACAUUCUGGGUAGGGGAAAAAGUUAGAGGAGUGCUAUCCAGAAGUUAUAUUUCCUAGGAAUAUGGGGAAUAAAACAUUCAAUAUUGGUGGUUCUAAUAGAUGAAUUAAAUUUAAUUUGAUGUGGAGUGGCCAUGUCCCCUGUCUCGGGAUGCCGUGUGAAGCCUGGCUCUUGUGACAGCUGUUUAGAUUUGCUGAAAGAUGUUUUAAGUGUCCUAGGAAAGAGGUUUCCAUUCAUUCUAGAACUGAUAGUUUUCUCUUAAAGUGUUAAUUUACAUUUUAAUGUUGAUGUGGUAUCCAUCUCAGGUUAAUGUUUGGCACUAGGUAAUUGAAUUUUUAAAAAUCUCAUUUUAUUUUCUGUCUGCUUUUGGGAGAGAGAAGUGGUUAGGUUUUUAUUACAGGAAGGAUUUUUCUCUUUCUCUAUUAUAAUACCUGAAAGCAAAUAUAUAUAAGCUAUACAUGAAGUCAUUACAAUUCUUUUUUCUCAUUUUAUUUUCACUUUUGGGAAAGAUUGCUGCCAAUAUUUGUGAGAUCUCUUUUCAGUUCUAUCUUUUACUUCUGCAUGUCCGUUAUCUUAGCCAUGCAAUGUUUAGUUUGAGGCAGUUUCACCCAAGGGACAUACCUUAGAAUAGACUCUCAUGGCCAGUAAUGAAUGACUGAUGGAGGGAACAGCAGUUUAUAGGUUUUUUGUUGUUUUUAAGGAGAAAAAUUAACACCCUUCAUCAAACCUCCUCUUUCUUCCUUCUCUCCUCCCCUCCAUCUCACCCUGCCUCCCCUUGGGAUCUUACUCCUGUGAUUAGUUUGGGUUCCACACAAAGAAAGAUUUAUUACUUUAAUGUCUUUGUGAUUUAGUUUUAUGUGAUCUUCCUAGGGACACCAGGGAGUACACGCUCCCCUUUCUGAAUAUGUUGUAAGCUCCUUUGAGGCAAAAAUGAAUGUUCCUGUGUUACAAGAACAGAGCAGCCCUUAUCAUCUUCUCGAAUCUUAUCUUUCUGAGUUAAACAUUUGGCAUCAGUGACGAAGUAAGACCAGACAUUGAGGAUGAGACGUCAAAUCCAAGUUUGUAGAAAACACACAGUUGAUGCAUCUCACAUCUCUCAAAUUCUUCUCUGUGGACUCUAUGCUUACUGUUCCUGAAGAUGUUCACCAAAUGGGACCAAACCUCCAAAAAAGGAGAAUUUUAAUUUCUUCUUACCCUACUUAGAUGCUGGAUUGCAUAAUGUGGUUGUAAUCUUUAACUAUUUUUUUAAAAAAUAUUUGAGAUUAAAAAAUACUUAGAGGGGCAAUAGUUAGGGCAGGGGAGUGUUCAGUCCCUUUAUGAAGAUGUUUUUUGGCUGGGCUAGCACCUCGGCCUUGUGUUGAAGGAGUGAGAAGUAACUUGUACCACCGGCCACAGCUCUAGCUUGUGUUGGAAGUUUUGCAGAGUUGUUGAUCCUCUGCCAAGUAGACCAGUGAUUCCACCUAAAUGGAUAGAAUCUUCAACUCGGAGGCACCAGUCUCUCUCACUUGAGGAAAGAAUGCGAAGGAAGGAAUGGCCUGACUUCCUCAUGUGUGCCCUGUUUCUCGGUAGGCACCAUGUGGGGGCUGCCACACAUGUGCCGAAGCUUUGGGAACGUUCCGUUUAAAUACCAAUUUCGAUGCCAAUGCCUAACAUGGAGCACAAAUAUCCAGGUUUCCAACUUCAGCCGUUGGUUCCUCAGCCUUCUACGCCUUCCACUGGAACCCAAGGCUCUUUGGUCAAUGGGCAGCCCGAGUGUUUGGGCUGCUUAGCUUUCAGAGGGAUGUGCUGCUGAUGUCUGUCCUUUUUAAAGAGGUAUUUUAUGCUCACAACACUUCACACAUCGUUCCCAGAAGAUGCAUCUCCAACAUCUCCCAGAAUUUGUUACAUGCUCAAAGGAAAUGAGAUCCCACUUUCUGUUUUGAUGACAGUGGGACUGGAAAAGACAGAUUCUAGGUUGUCAACAGUCACUGUCUUACAGCAAAGCAGUUUAUACCAGAGCUAGAGCUGAAACCUUACUGGGAACUGGAAGAUGGAAACACAGCGGUGAGCCUGGAGCAGGGCGACGCCAGCCUGGAGGCCCUCUCUUCCUGCCCACAACCUCACCUCCUCACAUCUACACUGCACACUUGCACCGGCCUUCUUUCUGCUUCUUGGGACCACAGACUGAGAAGGGACCCCCAGUCCUGCUAGCUCCUUGCUUGGUCUCAGGGUGAAGACGAGUCCCGAGUUUGAGUCCAGCCUCAAAUCUGCUGACCUUGGAUAAGUCACUUCUCACCGCUUGGGGCUUUGGUUUCCUGAAUAGAUUGAGUUAAAAUCUUUGUGGGUUUUUAACAUUAAAAAAAAAAGUGGAACUUGUUUUUCAAAUAAAAUGUUACACGAAAACUUAAUACUAAAAGCAGAAUAAGCUGGAUUUGCUCCCGUAUUCUGGGUGCCUCCAAGUAUCCCCUCCCCCUCUUAUCCAUCCUUGUGUACCCCCUGCCACCUAGCAGCCCCCUUCCCAGUUCAUCAGGGGCCAUUGGAGGGAAAGGCUUGGGAAGUACAACUCUACAGAGUUCACGCUAAGGAAGAACCUUGCAGGAAAUGCUUUUAAACGUAAACCAGCAACAUCUAGCUUCUCCUGUGUAGAGAGCUGCCCAGACCCCACCACCAACUGCUAAUUCUGAUUUUUCUCCGCUGGACAUUGGCUUUCUUAAUAAAUGUUUGGAUUUUUAAAAUCUACCAUUUUUGAAAAAAAUAAGCAUUUCCGCAUAGAAAUCAGACCUUGUCUGCGAGCCGGAGAUGUCCUCCGCGUAUUCCCGGUGACAACGAUGUGGCCUGUGAGCCUGCAUGGGGCUGAAUGGUUCUGUGAUUUCCUAGCACGGAACAGAACUAGUGAAUGCCGCUGUGUUUGGGGCUAGGAUGCUCAGAGGCCAUCCCCUCUCCUCCACAGAGGCUCGACUACUCGAAAUGCAUUGCUUCUGAGCCUAAUAUGUGUCACAAUUUCACCUUCAAAGGCCAAGCAUCCAGAAGCAGGAGAAUAAAGAUGUUUAGUAAGUGCAGCACAUCGAUUCCUCUUCAUCUGGAGCUGCUUAGGAGCCACCAAGAUUGUUACUCCUGCUCUCAUUAUGAAUGCAUUAGCAUUGAACUUAAUAGGAGGGUCCCCCAGAGAAAGUUAAGAAGCCUGCCUCAGAGGCCACUGCAGGGAGACGUGUGGGGCCCAUGCUCUGGGCAUCGCUGCAUAAAGGAGACUGCACCUGCUCUGACCCCUUCCCCAAGACGUUCAGUUGCUCAGUCAGAAAGUCAAGGAUGAAAAGUGUGUGUCUCUGGCUGGGUGUGGUGGCUCACACCUGUAAUCCCAGCACUUUGGGAGGCCAAAGAGGGUGGAUCACUUGAGGUCAGGAGUUCAAGACCAGCCUGUCCAACAUGGCAAAACCCCAUCUUUACUAAAAAUAUGAAAAUUAGCCAGGUGGUGUGGUG
rnacentral:lncRNA from 1 species